CUCUUAAACUUAUAAAGUGUUCCGUCUCUUUCAUUUAAUUUAUAGUUUUAAUAU
rnacentral:sRNA from 1 species